rnacentral:rRNA from 1 species
UACGGAGGGAGCUAGCGUUGUUCGGAAUUACUGGGCGUAAAGCGCACGUAGGCGGCUUUGUAAGUUAGAGGUGAAAGCCUGGAGCUCAACUCCAGAACUGCCUUUAAAACUGCAUCGCUUGAAUCCAGGAGAGGUGAGUGGAAUUCCGAGUGUAGAGGUGAAAUUCGUAGAUAUUCGGAAGAACACCAGUGGCGAAGGCGGCUCACUGGACUGGUAUUGACGCUGAGGUGGCGAAAGCGUGGGGAGCAAACAGG